UACGUAGGUGGCAAGCGUUACCCGGAAUUAUUGGGCGUAAAGCGCGCGCAGGUGGUUAAUUAAGUCUGAUGUGAAAGCCCACGGCUUAACCGUGGAGGGUCAUUGGAAACUGGUUGACUUGAGUGCAGAAGAGGGAAGCGGAAUUCCAUGUGUAGCGGUGAAAUGCGUAGAGAUAUGGAGGAACACCAGUGGCGAAGGCGGCUUCCUGGUCUGCAACUGACACUGAGGCGCGAAAGCGUGGGGAGCAAACAGG
rnacentral:rRNA from 1 species